rnacentral:rRNA from 1 species
CCUACGGGAGGCAGCAGUGGGGGAUAUUGCGCAAUGGGGGAAACCCUGACGCAGCAACGCCGCGUGAAGGAUGAAGGUCUUCGGAUUGUAAACUUCUUUUAUUAAGGACGAAGAAAGUGACGGUACUUAAUGAAUAAGCUCCGGCUAACUACGUGC